rnacentral:sRNA from 1 species
CAGCCGGGUGGGAGGGGGACCUUGUGCCUGGAGUGCGCCAGUGAAGGCAGGAGGAGGGUUAUGAGGUGUCCCACUCCUGUGUGGCUGGGGAAGGUGCUCAGGAGGGGAUGGGAUGGGCCUGGCUCGCCCUCACCCGGGCUCUAGCCCCUCUCUGUCGACCCUCCCCACUCCGGCCUGGCCUGUAGUUUGACCCUGAGCUGGUGCUGGUCUCGGCAGGAUUUGACUCAGCCAUCGGGGACCCUGAGGUGAGGGCCUUGCCUUGCCAGGGAGGGCUUCUGGGGUCCUGGGGCCCAGGUCCCCCGUCACACAUGGCUCUGGUUCCAGGGGCAAAUGCAGGCCACGCCAGAGUGCUUCGCCCACCUCACACAGCUGCUGCAGGUGCUGGCCGGCGGCCGGGUCUGCGCCGUGCUGGAGGGCGGCUACCACCUGGAGUCACUGGCGGAGUCAGUGUGCAUGACAGUACAGACGCUGCUGGGUGACCCGGCCCCACCCCUGUCAGGGCCAAUGGUGCCAUGUCAGAGGUGCGAGGGGAGGUAGGGCGGGCAGGGCUGGGGUGUGAGACCAGGUGUCACGACUGUUGUGUCUCCCCCACAGUGCCCUAGAGUCCAUCCAGAGUGCCCGUGCUGCCCAGGCCCCGCACUGGAAGAGCCUCCAGCAGCAAGGUCAGUGUGGCCGGGUGCUAGGCUGCAGGAUCCCACCUCGGGCUCCCGUGCAGUGGCUAUGACUCCGAACUGUCCCUAGAUGUGACCGCUGUGCCGAUGAGCCCCAGCAGCCACUCCCCAGAGGGGAGGCCUCCACCUCUGCUGCCUGGGGGUCCAGUGUGUAAGGCAGCUGCAUCUGCACUGAGCUCCCUCCUGGACCAGCCGUGCCUCUGCCCCGCACCCUCUGUCCGCACCGCUGUUGCCCUGACAACGCCGGAUAUCACAUUGGUUCUGCCCCCUGACGUCAUCCAACAGGAAGCGUCAGCCCUGAGGGAGGAGACAGAAGCCUGGGCCAGGCCACACGAGUCCCUGGCCCGGGAGGAGGCCCUCACUGCACUUGGGAAGCUCCUGUACCUCUUAGAUGGGAUGCUGGAUGG